rnacentral:rRNA from 1 species
AAAAAAGUCCCCUGUUAGUUUUUAAAAUGUAUAAUACUAAAUGAAUACAUAUACUAAACGGAGACGAAUAGAUGAUACUGAACUGAAACAUCUUAGUACUGUACAAAGAUUGGCUAGAUAGUAAAGGCGAUUGAACUCAAGCCCAGACUUCUUGAUCAAAUAAGUCCUUGGAUUUUAUUUAUAGCGUGAGUACUGUGAAGGAAAUUAAUACAUUGAACCCAUAACCCUUGUUUUACAAUUACCUUUUGUAUAAUGGGUUUACAAGAAUUAAUAUAGGCAAGUUUGUAUACUAUUUAAUAAGUAUAAGUCUAUUUAACCCGAAACCGUGUGAUCUAAUUGUGAUCAACAGGAAGUGUUAAUUGAUGAGUGUAGAAUAACUCUCAAAUGAAUUGCAAUUAGCGGCGAAAAACUAAUCGAACUCGGAUAUAGCUGGUUACCUGUGAAACUUAUUUUAGUAAUAAAUCCUUUUAGGAUAUUUAGAUUAUUGAUUACAACAUCAGUACUCGAAAGGGUAACAACCUUAACCAAGAAAAAAUAAGCUAGUUGAACAAUUUGAAUAAAUGUAAACCAUUGAAACCCAAAGAAUUUAGGCUUAGAAACAGCCAGGUUAUUAUGAUAACGUAAAAGUUCACUUUAAUAAAGGGAUACCUUAUAAAUAUAGCUCUAGUUCAUUAAAAUUUUUGGAUUAAAAUAGUAACAGGUCAUCCCAAUUGUCAAAUCUAUUGGGUGUGAUAAUGUAAACAUGAUUAAAACUUAUUUAUUUCUGAGAUUUCUUAUUUUAAGUUUUGAUUAAGGUUAUACGGCACCUCACUAAACCAGGGUGUGUUAUUUCAGAUUCUAGAAAAUGAAUAGAAACUUACCGUAUUUAACUAAAUCAAGAGGACGUAGAUAAAAGGUUUAAUUUUCUUUAAGGAACUCGGCAAACUAAGAUGCCGUCUGUUUACCAAAAACAUAGCUUUUAUAUAAACUCAAAGUGAUACCUGCCCAGUGGUUUGUAAUAUAAGGCAUUAACUUUGCUUUUAUUAAACUAAACGGACGCGGUAACCUGACCGUGGUAAUGUAGCAUAAUCAGUCGCCAUUUAAUUGUUGGAUAGUAUGAAUGGUUUAACGAGCAUCUCACUGUCUUGAAGAGAAACCCUGUGAAAUUGGAUUAGUAGUUAAGAUACUACUUAAAAUUGUAAGACGAAAAGACCCUAUAGAGCUUAACUAAAGCAUCUUUCUACUAAAUGAAUUAAUAGAUUCUGUUAUGAUAGGUGUUGUUAGUUUGGUUGGGGCGACCGCCUUCUAUAAUAAACGAAGGUAUUCAAAGUUAAUAUUAGAAUUUAUUGUAUAACCCAUGAGUUUAACAAUUACUAAAGUAGGUUAUAAUGACCCGUUGUGUGUGUGAAAAAACCCCAACGAUAAAUAGAUAAAAGCUACCUUAGGGAUAACAGGAUAAUUUAAUCUUAGAGACCUUAUCGAAGCUUAAGUUUGUCACCUCUAUGUUGAAUUAAGAUAUCCCAAUAGCGCAGAAGUUAUUAAAGGUGGGUCUGUUCGACCCUUAAAAUCUUACAUGAUUUGAGUUCAUUCCGUCGCGAGACAGGAAGGUUUCUAUCUACAAUUUGUUAAAUUAAAACCACCUAGUACGAAAGGAAAGGUGAUGUUUAAAACUAAUAAUCUUAGUUUUUAUUAGGUGGCUGAUAACUUAUAAGCCCCAAGUGAAUCUUUAACUCCCCACCAGCUCACCACACUUAUAACGAACUACCAUUUAUAUUUU